UACAGAGGUCUCAAGCGUUGUUCGGAUUCAUUGGGCGUAAAGGGUGCGUAGGUGGCGCUGUAAGUCGGGUGUGAAAUUUCGGAGCUUAACUCCGAAACUGCAUUCGAUACUGCGGUGCUUGAGGACUGGAGAGGAGACUGGAAUUCAUGGUGUAGCAGUGAAAUGCGUAGAGAUCAUGAGGAACACCUGCGGCGAAGGCGGGUUGCUGGGCUGACACUGACGCUGAGGCGCGAAAGCUAGGGGAGCGAACGGG
rnacentral:rRNA from 1 species